rnacentral:rRNA from 1 species
AGAGCACACGGUGGAUGCCUAGGCUUUUGGAGGCGAAGAAGGACGUGGUAAGCUGCGAAAAGCUAUGGGGAGACGCUAAACAGUCAUUGAUCCGUAGAUAUCCGAAUGGGGCAACCCGUUAGGUAGAAGGCCUAACAUUCCGCAUAAGCGGGAAGCAAACCCGGCGAAUUGAAACAUCUUAGUAGCCGGAGGAAGAGAAAACAAUAGUGAUUCCCUAAGUAGAGGCGAUCGAACGGGGAAUAGCCUAAACCAUAUUUGUUUCGGCAUAUAUGGGGUUGUAGGACUGACAAUAAAGGUAUAAUUAACAGAAGUAGAAUAUGUCUGGAAAGCAUAACCAAAGAGAGUGAAAGUCUCGUAUACGUAAGAAUUAAUUAUAUUGAGUCAGCACCUGAGUAGCACGGGACACGAGAAACCCUGUGUGAAUCGGCCGGGACCACCCGGUAAGGCUAAAUACUCCCAAAAGACCGAUAGUGAACCAGUACCGUGAGGGAAAGGUGAAAAGAACCCCUGUUAGGGGAGUGAAAUAGUACCUGAAACCGUGUGCUUACAAGCGGUCGGAGUCUCGUUUUAAACGAGGUGACGGCGUGCCUUUUGCAUAAUGAGCCUACGAGUUAUCUUCGUUAGCAAGGUUAAUUGACUCAGUCAAGGAGCCGAAGCGAAAGCGAGUCUGAAAAGGGCGUUUAGUUAGCGGGGAUAGACGCGAAACCAAGUGAUCUACCCAUGGUCAGGGUGAAGCAAGGGUAAAUCCUUGUGGAGGCCCGAACCAGUUGACGUUGAAAAGUCUUUGGAUGAACUGUGGGUAGGGGUGAAAGGCCAAUCAAACUUGGAAAUAUCUCGUACUCCCCGAAAUGCCUUUAGGGGCAGCCUCGAGGGAAGUGUUAUAGAGGUAGAGCUACCGAUUGGGUGCGAGGGUUUCAUCGCCUAUCAAUCCCUGACGAACUCCGAAUGCUAUAACAUAUACUCGGGAGUGAGGCCAUGGGUGCUAAGGUCCGUGGCCAAAAGGGAAAGAACCCAGACCAUCAGCUAAGGUCCCUAAAUGUAAUCUAAGUUGAUCUAACGUGGUCGGUUUGCACAAACAGCUAGGAUGUUGGCUUGGAAGCAGCCAUUCAUUUAAAGAGUGCGUAACAGCUCACUAGUCGAGCGAACUGGCGUGGAUGAUAAUCGGGCAUAAGAAUACUACCGAAGCUAUGGAUCUCAAUUUUUAUUGGGAUGGUAGGGGAGCAUUCUGGCGACGUAGAAGCAGUAUCGUGAGGUAUUGUGGAGUUUCCGGAAAAGAAAAUGUAGGCAUAAGUAACGAUAAAGAAAGUGAAAAACUUUCUCGCCGAUACUCUAAGGUUUUCUGAAUCUACGUUAAUCGGAGCAGAGUUAGUCGGGACCUAAGGCGAACCCGAAAGGGGAAGUCGAUGGAAGAAUCGGUUAAUAUUCCGAUACUAGCAUAUAGAGAGACGAGGUGACGGAGGAGUGACAAGCUCGCGUACGGACGGAAGAGUACGUUGAAGGGUGUAGAUAAAUUGAAUAUAGGCAAAUCCGUAUUUAAUGUCGAACCUGAUAGUACCACAAGCUAUUCAUAGCGCGUGGAUAGUAGCAGUAAUCAUACUCCCAAGAAAAACCUCUAUUUAUAAUUUAUAUGGUACCCGUACCGUAAACCGACACAGGUGGAGUGGUAGAGAAUACCGAGGCGCUCGAGUGAUUCGUGGCUAAGGAACUAGGCAAAUUAACCCCGUAACUUCGGGAAAAGGGGUGCUCUCUUACGAGAGAGCCGCAGAGAAAUGGCCCAAGCGACUGUUUAACAAAAACACAGGGCUUUGCUAAGCCGAAAGGCGAUGUAUAAGGCCUGACGCCUGCCCGGUGCCGGAAGGUUAAGGGGGGGAGUUAUUUCGAUUCGUCGGAAGAAGCUCUGAACUGAAGCCCCGGUAAACGGCGGCCGUAACUAUAACGGUCCAAAGGUAGCGAAAUUCCUUGUCGGGUAAGUUCCGACCUGCACGAAUGGUGUAACGAUUUGGGCACUGUCUCAGCCACGAGCUCGGUGAAAUUGUAGUUCCGGUGAAGAUGCCGGAUACCCGCAGCGGGACGGAAAGACCCCGUGAACCUUUACUACAACUUAGCGUUGGUUCUUGGUAUUAGAUGUGUAGGAUAGGUGGGAGACAACGAAGCAGGGACGCUAGUUUCUGUGGAGUCGCCCUUGAAAUACCACCCUUCUACUAUUAGGAAUCUAAUCCGUCUAAGACGGAGACAUUGUUUGGUGGGUAGUUUGACUGGGGUGGUCGCCUCCAAAAGAGUAACGGAGGCUUUCAAAGGUACCCUCAGUACGAUUGGUAACCGUGCGAAGAGUGCAAUGGCAUAAGGGUGCUUGACUGUGAGACAGACAAGUCGACCAGAUACGAAAGUAGGACAUAGUGAUCCGGUGGUUCCGAGUGGAAGGGCCAUCGCUCAAAGGAUAAAAGGUACUCCGGGGAUAACAGGCUUAUCACUCCCAAGAGCUCAUAUCGACGGAGUGGUUUGGCACCUCGAUGUCGGCUCGUCACAUCCUGGGGCUGGAGAAGGUCCCAAGGGUUGGGCUGUUCGCCCAUUAAAGUGGCACGCGAGCUGGGUUCAGAACGUCGCGAGACAGUUCGGUCCCUAUCUGUUGUGGGCGU